GACAGAGGUGCCGAGCGUUAGGCGGAAUCACUGGGCUUAAAGCGUGUGUAGGCGGGGCGUUAAGUGUCUUGUGAAAUCCCACGGCUCACCCGUGGAACUGCUGGACAUACUGGCGCUCUUGAGCCACUUAGGGGCAACUGGAACAAACGGUGGAGCGGUGAAAUGCGUAGAUAUUCGCAAGAACACCAGUGGCGAAGGCGGCUCACUGGCCCGGUACUGACGCUGAGGUGCGAAAGCGUGGGGAGCAAACAGG
rnacentral:rRNA from 1 species